UACGAAGGGGCUAGCGUUGCUCGGAAUUACUGGGCGUAAAGGGAGCGUAGGCGGACAUUUAAGUCAGGGGUGAAAUCCCAGAGCUCAACUCUGGAACUGCCUUUGAUACUGGGUGUCUUGAGUAUGAUAGAGGUAUGUGGAACUCCGAGUGUAGAGGUGAAAUUCGUAGAUAUUCGGAAGAACACCAGUGGCGAAGGCGACAUACUGGACCACUUCUGACGCUGACGACGACGAAA
rnacentral:rRNA from 1 species